UUGUCGUCAGCUCGUGUCGUGAGAUGUUGGUUAAGUCCCGCAACGAGCGCAACCCCUACGUUUAGUUGCUAACGCGUGAAGGCGAGCACUCUAGACGAACUGCCGUUGACAAAACGGAGGAAGGUGGGGAUGACGUCAAAUCAUCAUGCCCCUUAUGUUCUGGGCUACACACGUGCUACAAUGGCCGGUACAGACGGACGCAAAGCCGCGAGGUGGAGCAAAUCCUAAAAAGCCGGUCUCAGUUCGGAUUGCAGGCUGCAAUCCGCCUGCAUGAAGUCGGAAUCGCUAGUAAUCGCAGGUCAGCAUACUGCGGUGAAUACGUUCCCGGGCCUU
rnacentral:rRNA from 1 species